UACAGAGGGUGCGAGCGUUGUCCGGAAUCACUGGGCGUAAAGGGCGCGUAGGCGGCUUGAUAAGCGUGCGGUGAAAGCCCGGGGCCCAACCCCGGGUCGGCCGUGCGAACUGUCGAGCUGGAGCACUGUAGAGGCAGGUGGAAUUCCGGGUGUAGCGGUGGAAUGCGUAGAGAUCCGGAAGAACACCGGUGGCGAAGGCGGCCUGCUGGGCAGUGGCUGACGCUGAGGCGCGACAGCGUGGGGAGCAAACAGG
rnacentral:rRNA from 1 species